rnacentral:rRNA from 1 species
CCUACGGGCGGCUGCAGUGGGGAAUAUUGCACAAUGGGCGCAAGCCUGAUGCAGCCAUGCCGCGUGUGUGAAGAAGGCCUUCGGGUUGUAAAGCACUUUCAGCGGGGAGGAAGGCGUUAAGGUUAAUAACCUUGGCGAUUGACGUUACCCGCAGAAGAAGCACCGGCUAACUCCGUGCCAGCAGCCGCGGUAAUACGGAGGGUGCAAGCGUUAAUCGGAAUUACUGGGCGUAAAGCGCACGCAGGCGGUCUGUCAAGUCGGAUGUGAAAUCCCCGGGCUCAACCUGGGAACUGCAUUCGAACUGGCAGGCUAGAGUCUUGUAGAGGGGGGUAGAAUUCCAGGUGUAGCGGUGAAAUGCGUAGAGAUCUGGAGGAAUACCGGUGGCGAAGGCGGCCCCCUGGACAAAGACUGACGCUCAGGUGCGAAAGCGUGGGGAGCAAACAGGAUUAGAUACCCGGGUAGUC